CGUAUGAUGCUGCUGCCAGCCCGCGUCCCGUCAGGCCCGAUGCGUGCGGCCUGUGUCUUAUACACAGCGCAAAACUCUUCACCGGAUUUU
rfam:Pantoea wallisii strain LMG 26277 Contig0028_, whole genome shotgun sequence.